UACCACAAGGAAAAGAAAACCAACAGUCAGAAAUGCUGGGACUUACCUACUACCAACAAAAUUUCCUUAAACCAUCAUAUCAUCAAGUUGUCAUCAUUUAAUCAUGACAUCAUGUUGAAAAUGCCAUCUAAAAGUCAAGAGAUGAAAAAGCUGGAUGGAAGGAAGGUCGGAUAGAUAAACUGGUAGGUAGAUGUUGAAUGACUUAUGCGAGAGUAUGGACAAAUGAAGGAAUGAACAAACAAAGGAAAGAAUGAAGGCCGGCAUGAUUAAUAAAUCCUCCAAGAGCAGGCUCAGUCCAAGGCCAGGGGAUUUUUUUUUUUUUUUAAAGAGACUUCCAAGCACUCUGAACCCACGGGCUAGGAUAACAUGCCCUCAUCUUCUAAGUCAAAAUUCUCAAUCUACAUCAGAAAGAGGAAAUUCUCAAUGUGAAACCCCUUUCCCAUAUUCUGAAAAUUAAGUCCACACCCAAACAUAAGGUUUUAUGCACAUAGAUGGCUUCCUGUACUUCUUUAUCUAGAAGUUUUACCCCAUCCUCCAGAAAAUAUCCAGAACUAGAUGGAGAUAAAGAAGAAAAAUAUUAGUAAAUACAGAUUCUUACACAUUUCAUUUUUCUAUGGAUUAGUUCUAUACCAGCAAGAAGGAAUUUCCAGAAAGGUUGAUGUAAGUGCAUCCCUAGGACUCAAAUGCUAACAUACUUCUCCCUCCCACCCCC
rnacentral:lncRNA from 10 species